rnacentral:rRNA from 1 species
CCUACGGGGUGCUGCAGUGGGGAAUAUUGGGCAAUGGGCGCAAGCCUGACCCAGCAACGCCGCGUGAAGGAAGAAGGCUUUCGGGUUGUAAACUUCUUUUAAGAGGGAAGAGCAUCAGACUGUACCUCUUUAAUAAGCCACGUCUAACUACGUGCCAGCAGCCGCGGUAAUACGUAGGGGGCAAGCGUUUUCCGGAUUUACUGGGUGUAAAGGGCGUGUGGCCGGGCUGACAAGUCAGAUGGGAAAUCCGGGGGCUCAACCCCAGAACUGCAUUUGAAACUGUUUGUCUGGAGUAUCGGAGAGGCAGGCGGAAGUCCUAGUGUAGCGGUGAAAUGCGUAGAUAUUAGGAGGAACACCAGUGGCGAAGGCGGCCUGCUGGACGACAACUGACGGUGAGGCGCGAAAGCGUGGGGAGCAAACAGGAUUAGAUACCCCUGUAGUC